UGGGGAAUAUUGCACAAUGGGGGAAACCCUGAUGCAGCGACGCCGCGUGAGCGAAGAAGGCCUUCGGGUCGUAAAGCUCUUUUAUGAGGGAAGAUAAUGACGGUACCUCAAGAAAAAGCCCCGGCUAACUACGCGCCAGCAGCCGCGGUAAUACGUAGGGGGCUAGCGUUGUCCGGAAUCACUGGGCGUAAAGGGUUCGCAGGCGGAAUAACAAGUCAGAUGUGAAAGGCAUGGGCUCAACCCAUGUAAGCAUUUGAAACUGUAAUUCUUGAGAAGUGGAGAGGUAAGUGGAAUUCCUAGUGUAGCGGUGAAAUGCGUAGAUAUUAGGAGGAAUACCUGUGGCGAAGGCGACUUACUGGACACAAAUCUGACGCUGAGGAGCGAAAGCGUGGGUAGCAAACAGG
rnacentral:rRNA from 1 species